rnacentral:rRNA from 1 species
UACGAAGGGUGCAAGCGUUAAUCGGAAUUACUGGGCGUAAAGGGUGCGUAGGCGGUUCGUUAAGUCUGUCGUGAAAUCCCCGGGCUCAACCUGGGAAUGGCGAUGGAAACUGGGCAGCUAGAGUGUGUCAGAGGAUGGUGGAAUUCCCGGUGUAGCGGUGAAAUGCGUAGAGAUCGGGAGGAACACCGGUGGCGAAGGCGGGAUCCUGGGCCAGUACUGACGCUGAGGAGCGAAAGCGUGGGGAGCAAACAGG